UACAGAGGUCCCAAGCGUUGUUCGGAUUCACUGGGCGUAAAGGGUGCGUAGGCGGUUGGGUAAGUCUGGCGUGAAAUCUCCAAGCCUAACUUGGAAACUGCGUUGGAUACUAUCCGGCUCGAGGAAUGGAGGGGAGACUGGAAUACUUGGUGUAGCAGUGAAAUGCGUAGAUAUCAAGUGGAACACCAGUGGCGAAGGCGAGUCUCUGGACAUUUCCUGACGCUGAGGCACGAAAGCCAGGGGAGCAAACGGG
rnacentral:rRNA from 1 species